CAGUAGCCGCGGGAAUACGAAGGGGGCUAGCGUUGCUCGGAAUUACUGGGCGUAAAGGGAGCGUAGGCGGGUCGUUUAGUCAGAGGUGAAAUCCCGGGGCUCAACCUCGGAACUGCCUUUGAUACUGGCGACCUUGAGUAUGGGAGAGGUGAGUGGAACUCCGAGUGUAGAGGUGAAAUUCGUAGAUAUUCGGAAGAACACCAGUGGCGAAAGCGACUCACUGGCCCAUUACUGACGCUGAGGCUCGAAAGCGUGGGGAGCAAACAGGAUUAGAUACCCCCGUAGUCCCUGUCUCUUAUAC
rnacentral:rRNA from 1 species